rnacentral:rRNA from 1 species
UUAGCGGCGGACGGGUGAGUAACACGUGGAUAACCUACCUAUAAGACUGGGAUAACUUCGGGAAACCGGAGCUAAUACCGGAUAACAUGUUGAACCGCAUGGUUCAACAGUGAAAGACGGUUUUGCUGUCACUUAUAGAUGGAUCCGCGCCGCAUUAGCUAGUUGGUAAGGUAACGGCUUACCAAGGCAACGAUGCGUAGCCGACCUGAGAGGGUGAUCGGCCACACUGGAACUGAGACACGGUCCACACGG